CAGUCGUACCGACGGGAAAUCAACUUCUCGAGUGCCUAUCGUGGGUGACGUUGAGCCUCACGGCCUUCGUUGCUUGUGUUGUUGGUGCUUUUGGGGUGUACUUUUCCGUAUGGUAGGUCAGCAUCGAUUUCGUUCGUCAUAAAAUGAUCGGGGGAAUGUAGCUUCGGUCUCGUAUCGGAGUGUUAUAGACCUUGGUAGAUGUGACGAUUGGGAUCGAGGAUUGCAACGAAUACCCUUUUGGGCUAUCCGUCUGGCCUCUGAAAGUCGCUCGGGUGUCGAAAGCGUGCUUACGGCUAUUCGAGUUGGCGGUCAACAGGUUAGAACGUGGUUACA
rnacentral:rRNA from 1 species